rnacentral:hammerhead_ribozyme from 1 species
GCACUGCUGACGAGUACCAAACAGGACGAAACGGCUGUUCAGUGC